AGUGUGGCUCAAUGGCAGAGCAGCUCAUUCGUAAUGAGCAGGUUGGGGGUUCGAUUCCCUUCACU
rnacentral:tRNA from 1 species